rnacentral:rRNA from 1 species
AGCUCCAGUAGCGUAUAUUAAAGUUGUUGCAGUUAAAAAGCUCGUAGUUGGAUUUCUGGUAUGAGGUGCCCGGCCCGCCGUCCUUGACGGUGAGUGCUGGAGCGCUUCGACCAUCCUUCCGGAGAGCUGGUGCCCCUUCAUUGUGGCGCCAGUCAUUCGGAUCUUUUACUUUGAAAAAAUUAGAGUGUUCAAGGCAGGCGUUUUCGCCGUGAAUACAUUAGCAUGGAAUAAUGACAUAGGACUUUGGUUCUAUUUCGUUGGUUUCUAGGACUGAAGUAAUGAUUGAUAGGGAUAGUUGGGGGUGCUAGUAUUUAACGGCCAGAGGUGAAAUUCUUGGAUUCGUUAAAGACUAACUAAUGCGAAAGCAUUCACCAAGGAUGUCUUCUUUAAUCAAGAACGA